GAAGUGAGUGGCGAACGGGUGAGUAACACGUGGGUAACCUGCCCAGAAGUAGGGGAUAACACCUGGAAACAGAUGCUAAUACCGUAUAACAGAGAAAACCGCAUGGUUUUCUUUUAAAAGAUGGCUCUGCUAUCACUUCUGGAUGGACCCGCGGCGUAUUAGCUAGUUGGUGAGGUAAAGGCUCACCAAGGCAGUGAUACGUAGCCGACCUGAGAGGGUAAUCGGCCACAUUGGGACUGAGACACGGCCCAGACUCCUACGGGAGGCAGCAGUAGGGAAUCUUCCACAAUGGACGCAAGUCUGAUGGAGCAACGCCGCGUGAGUGAAGAAGGGUUUCGGCUCGUAAAGCUCUGUUGUUAAAGAAGAACGUGGGUAAGAGUAACUGUUUACCCAGUGACGGUAUUUAACCAGAAAGCCACGGCUAACUACGUGCCAGCAGCCGCGGUAAUACGUAGGUGGCAAGCGUUAUCCGGAUUUAUUGGGCGUAAAGCGAGCGCAGGCGGUCUUUUAAGUCUAAUGUGAAAGCCUUCGGCUCAACCGAAGAAGUGCAUUGGAAACUGGGAGACUUGAGUGCAGAAGAGGACAGUGGAACUCCAUGUGUAGCGGUGAAAUGCGUAGAUAUAUGGAAGAACACCAGUGGCGAAGGCGGCUGUCUGGUCUGCAACUGACGCUGAGGCUCGAAAGCAUGGGUAGCGAACAGGAUUAGAUACCCUGGUAGUCCAUGCCGUAAACGAUGAUUACUAAGUGUUGGAGGGUUUCCGCCCUUCAGUGCUGCAGCUAACGCAUUAAGUAAUCCGCCUGGGGAGUACGACCGCAAGGUUGAAACUCAAAAGAAUUGACGGGGGCCCGCACAAGCGGUGGAGCAUGUGGUUUAAUUCGAAGCUACGCGAAGAACCUUACCAGGUCUUGACAUCUUCUGACAGUCUAAGAGAUUAGAGGUUCCCUUCGGGGACAGAAUGACAGGUGGUGCAUGGUUGUCGUCAGCUCGUGUCGUGAGAUGUUGGGUUAAGUCCCGCAACGAGCGCAACCCUUAUUACUAGUUGCCAGCAUUAAGUUGGGCACUCUAGUGAGACUGCCGGUGACAAACCGGAGGAAGGUGGGGACGACGUCAAAUCAUCAUGCCCCUUAUGACCUGGGCUACACACGUGCUACAAUGGAUGGUACAACGAGUCGCGAGACCGCGAGGUUAAGCUAAUCUCUUAAAACCAUUCUCAGUUCGGACUGUAGGCUGCAACUCGCCUACACGAAGUCGGAAUCGCUAGUAAUCGCGGAUCAGCAUGCCGCGGUGAAUACGUUCCCGGGCCUUGUACACAC
rnacentral:rRNA from 1 species